CCCUGAUGGUUCAGAUGGCAAAGAAUCUGCCUGCCGUGCAGGAGACCCAGGUUCAAUCCCUGGGUCAGGAA
rnacentral:tRNA from 1 species